ACCAACAAUAUGAAAAAACUCCCAAAGCAGAGACAGAAUUACAGCUUACACUUGCAGGACUUGUGAGAAAAUCAUUAACUGUAACCGAAAACAUGACUCAUUCAGAGGUAAGAUCCAUAAUGUUAUUUUUCUUGUUUUUGUUAUAAGGUGAGAGAAGACCCAAUAGCGAAAUGACAGUCAAUAAGCUCUUUAAUGAAAAGUCAAUGAGGCAGCCACCAGUAGGGUGAAUAAACAAAUAUUCUUGAAAAAAUAAAUCACAACAGAAACAGCCAAAACCUCAGGCCAGUAAUCAACAACGGAAAAAAUCCUCGUCUUCGAGCUUAGGCAGAGUUCAUUGAGGAAGCUCGGGCACAGACGGUGGCUAGCCUCUGGUCACACAGGAGCGUAUACAGAUGAAGCACAGCGGGGAACUGCAGUAGCUCUAUCAAGCGCAGCACUGCUACAGAGCAGACAUAGGUUAGAGCAAAAGCAAAACAAUACUAGCAGCUAGAUGAAACCAUGACAAAACAGAACAGGACAGACGGUGGCUAGCCUCUGGUCACACAGGAGCGUAUACAGAUGAAGCACAGCGGGGAACUGCAGUAGCUCUAUCAAGCGCAGCACUGCUACAGAGCAGACAUAGGUUAGAGCAAAAGCAAAACAAUACUAGCAGCUAGAUGAAACCAUGACAAAACAGAACAGGACUAAAUAGAGAGGAAGUGCAACAAGACAUCUCUAUCAGUGGUUAACGAACAAUCUGAAAAAGAGACAGGAGGAAGAGAGAGGAGAAGUAGCAAAUGUAAUCAGAAGGAAAAGGGGACAGGUGUGAAGUACUUAGAGUAAAGCAGGAGCAGAUAGGGGACAGCUGGGAAAAGGAGAGUGAGUGAUUGAGUGUGCUAAAAUCAGGCGAGUGUCGGUGCGUGUGUAAUAAGGCCAGUGGCCAGAAGAGGGCGGAAAGGAUAGAAAGAGCCGGGCUCAUGACAGUUUUAUUGUGUUUGGUGUAUUUCCUUAUUCUGUUGUACUCUGCCUUUGAUAAUUAAGCUGUCAGAGGUGCUUGUUAAUGCAUAUCCAAAACUGACAAACAUCUGCGGAGGAUGGUUGCUGCACAAGUGCUCAGAUAUAACCAAAAUAUUUUCGGAGGCCAUGACAUCACUCUCCACCUGUUACGACCCAGGUCUCUG
rnacentral:lncRNA from 1 species